rnacentral:lncRNA from 1 species
CUCUUUUCAAAGUUAUUGCAUUUAUUCUUUCUAAAUGUAGAACAAUUUGAUUUGUGUUAACCGUAUUGUUUGACUUAAUAGUAAUCAUCUUAGUAAAGAGAUGGUUCAAUGGUUUGUCCACUGUUUUGAUUCGAUAAGAAAGAAAUUUGAAUUUACAAUGUUUUUUGCCCAGUGUUGUGAAAAGCGCAGAAAAGCGCGCUUCAAAGCGAGGCGACCCUUGUGCGCUUUUUUAUCUUGAGGCGAGGCGAUCUGAAAAAAGCUCUCGCUUCAGAUGAAGAAGCGAGAAGCGACCCUAAGGCAAAAACACAAUAAAGCGCGCUUUUUAUAAAAAAAAAGCGACAAUUAGGAUUUUUUUUAAAAAAAAUCUGAAAUAUAACCUUCUCUCUCCUCACGACUCUUCUUUCACGACUCUUUCCCUUCUUUCUCUCCUCGCGACUCUUCUUUCACAAUACUUCUUUCCCUUCUUUCUCUCCUGACGAUCUCGACUGAGGCUGCCUCUCUCUUCAACCUCGACCGCGACUGUAGGUAACUUUUUGUUCAUCUCUUUUUUAGCUAAUGUUUAUUAGUUCAUCUCUAUGAGUUUCUUUUCUCAUGAAAUAUACAAUCUUUGUCUGUGCUUCAUCUCUUCAUCUCUCUGAGUUUCGACUACUCUAGUUUUUUCUUCUUCUUCUCUUCUUUUCUUCCUGCCUGCUCUGUUUCUAAUUACUGACUGCUGCCUCUGUUUUUUUUUCAAUUCUUUUGCUUUUUUUAUUUUAUUUUGUGAUCAGUCUAGCAGCCUUGUUGAAGAAUAGGAGUUUGAAUCGUUGUGAUUUAAUUAUGUUUUUGAUUUUUUGCUUUAUAUGUUAUGACUCAUGAGUAUUUUUGCCUAUGUAAUUUCGUUCAAUAUAAGACUAUUAGCUCUAUUUAGUUAUUUAAUUUUUUUACUUUUAUACUAAAUGUCGCUUUUUUUUAAAAAAGCGAGCGCUUCGCUUCACGCUUCUGUGAAGCAAGCCCUCGUCACUUUUUUCCGCUUCUCGCUUCCCAAAACACUGAUUUUGCCUUGACAAGAUGAACCAACCCCAGCCUUUUUACUCCCAGGCACACAAAGUUGUUGAUGGAUCUCUUCUUAGUCUCAGCUGAGAUCUUUGAUUGUAUGCAUUCACAGAGUCUGUCGAGAACAAGGUAUUUAUAAUUACAUGUAAGUUUGACCUAUGCACAACUAAUGUUUUCUUGAACAAAAAUAAGUAAGGGGGUGUUCAUUGAAAACUUCCAUCAUAUUUUUGCAUUAGUCUAUUAGUUUGAUUUUUUUUCCCACAAACUAUAUGAUUGUGAAUUUCUGAAAGCUGAAUGAAUAAUGAAUAACAGUUUCUUGUUUUUUUUUAUCACUUCUGUUAUGAUAAAUUGAUAAUAUGGAUGACAAUAUUAUUGUACAUAUUUCAGGUAAAAUCAAUAAAUCGAAUCAAAAGAUGUUAUUGAUUUAUCGAUAUUGUGUUUUUGAUGUAAUAGACUAAUAGUGCAGAACGAUUUAGCGUUAUUGGACUUUAGGGUUAUCGAUUUGUCCUAUUUCUCCUAGGAGUUGUUUGGUGUGAGGUAUAAGGAAUUUUAGGGAUAAAAUGCAUGCAUGAUUAUUUUAUCUUGCAUUUGGUUGGAUGUUCUGGACUACUUAUCCAACACUUUAUACCUUAGUGAUGAGAUAAGACUUGACUCGAGAUAAAUAAUUCUGGGAUAACUUCUUUCCAACCAAACGACCCUUAGCGGUUUAACCUAUAACCGGAUAAACUUAUUAUAAUAAAAAAUCCAUUAAAUUAUAAGUUAAUGCUUCCAAAUAAGCUAAUUAGACAUAGCUUUCUAAUGUUGCAAAGUUCUGUUUCACCUAUAAUUAGCAUCUACCAUAAAAAGCUUCUUAUAAUGAUAAGUUAGUACAUCUAACAUCUAGGAUACCAGUAACCUCGAUAAUUUUAAAAUCACUAUCCAAUAUUAAUUUGUAUGUAUCACUAUAUGAUCCAUUACUAAAUUAAUGAUAAGAAAUUCUUACAAAUUAUCUUUUGUGUGAGGUUAACAUAUAUGUGAGUUGAAGAGCUCACACUUUCUAUUACUGGACAACCAUCUUUUUAUCUUAGAAAUAUGGUGAUCUAUGGUGUAUUCUUGAUUCUUAUAUUAAUUCUACUGAUAUGCAAUAACUUCAGAGAAAUUUGAUGCCCUCAUUGCAUAACUUUGAAUUUUAGACAAAUGCUUAGUGAACACACUUAGCAUGUCAGUAGUUCAACAUUUUCGAGCUUACACAAGGCAUCCUUAAAUUUGAUGUUUUCUUGAUAACUAGCUCUUCUUUUAAAUUUGAUGUCAUUAGUUAAUACUUACUCAAUAGACUCAAGAUAAACUUUAUAAAUGGUUGGUCUGAGAUAACAAUUUGUGUAACUCCCUCCUAUUAAUGCUUCAUAAAUUACUGUAAGUUAAUUUAUUUGUGAUUUAAUUGUGAAUUGCUUCUACAUAUAUGGUCUAAGGCAUAAGUUCCUCGGCACGUAAUAACUUUCUGUUUCUACACCAAAUUAAGAUCAUCAGUGUCUUUAUGUCUAUCAUUUUCUCUGACAUGAUAUUUUAAUGGGUGCCUAGUUUUCAACAAGAACUAAAUUAGACUUCAUGUUCUUUUUGAUUUUUUUUUGAGGUAUCAUUUUGUGGGUUGCAGCAAAUUAUGACGAAUACUACUAUUUCCCAUUACAAAUUUGGUGCUCUUUUUAAAUGUGAUCAGAUUAUAUGAUGCUGAUAAUUUACCGGUUAGCUUUUUGUGGAUUGUGAAUUUUGUUUCCAUAUAAAAAGCUUUCUUAAAUUUACAUGUGAUUUUAAAAAUUAUUUGGGUAAUGCUGAAAUUCCAAAUAGUUGUCAGUUCAUUUCUCUACUUCCACAUUUCUUUUGAAUCAAUUUUAUAUACUUAUUAGUUAAUAUUUUACUGGUAUCCUCUGUUAGUGCAGUAAGCUUUCGUGUUGGAGCUUAAUUUUAUCAGCGAGUUUUUCGAAAACUAUCCUUUUCUUAUUGAUUUACUAAUCUGAUUUCACUUGUAGGCUUUGGACUAAGUUAUAAUCUUUUGACUAGAUUUUAAAUUUUUCCAUGGUUUUGAGUGCAGAGCACAUAUAGCUUCGUGGAUUUAAGAGAUGCAUCUACAACAACUCUCUUCUCUAUUUCUUAUACAGCGGAAAUCAUGUGAGGGAAAACUUUAUUCGCAAAAAGGUUGAUCAAAGUAUGUCGAUUGUUCGGCAUAAGGACUGUUGAAGACAAAGCAGAUGGAGUAGAAAUAUUCACUCUUCAGUCCUAUGGAAAGUUUUGUUCAACUCAACAUUAUUUUUUAAUGAUGUAUUAUUUCAUUUAUAUUGCAAAAUUAUAUCUAUAAAUAUUUGAAUUUAUGUUGUCAAUAAAUGAUGUUAAUUUUGAAGGUACUCUCCUUGAUUGAGGGCUGAUAACAAUAUAUGAUUGUUAUUUGGUAUUGACGGUAUUUGCACAUUUAAGAAAUAGAUAUAGCAUUAUGUUCAUCUACAUAUUUCUUUUUUUUUACUACUAUUCCUUCACAAAUAACUUUAUGAAAUAUCUGGAAAAUGUAAAAUGUUGGGCCGUGCUUAGCAGAGGCUACGCUCAUCUAGUAUAUAUAGAAGAGCCAUGAUGAGGAUGAUCAAUGGAAAGUUAAUAAUUUUAAACAUUAUUAUGGA